UUCUCUGAGUAUGACAGAGUGCAACUUGCUGGUCCUCCACUUCUGCUUCCUUUUACUGCUGAUCUUUCUGUGGCGUGUGUGUGAGAGAGUGUGUGCCCGUGUGUGCCACGGAUGGGGGCUGGCCAGGAAGAAAGAGGGUGAGAUGGGACAGGCCAGUGCAAACUACUGGAAGACAGCUCGGCGAAAACAACAACCCACAAAAACCACUGGAAGAAAGGAAGGGUCUCAGCCUGAAAAGAUAGCCCCCUGGACUGCUUUGGCUGAAAGGUGAGGCCCCAAAGAGUGUGUGCACUCCUUGUCACACUCCAUCUCCUCCCCUAUCUGGCUCUAGCUCUAAGAAAGUCCAUGGGUGAGAUUUGCUAAGCCCACGGCUGCUCUACUUCUGCUUUGUCAAUAGUGGCCAGGACGAGCUGCCCACACGCCAAGGAGAUCUGUUUGCACAGAUAUGCUGCGAUCACUCUCUUGUAAAGCUGCAGAAGCCAAAGUCUAUUUAAAACAUCAAGCCCUAGGAGCCGAGUGACAGCCAGGUUCCCACGGAGGAAGCCGGUCAGUGAGCAGCGUCUCGGCAGGCACCAGCUUUGGCACAGGAGGACUAGAGUGCUGGGAAGGGAGAGCUCAGCAUUAUGGCAUCUGCCUCUCCUUGGCCAAGUCUCCCUCUCCCUCUAGUCGACAUUCCCGCCAAGACCCAGCAGUGUUGGUCUUCUUUUUAGCCUGGCAGUUCUCUCUGUCACUGAAGUGGGGAUUUGGAAGGCUGCAAAGAUGAGAUGUGAGAGGCAGCUGUCUCUAAGCGCUGCUCCUUUCUCCCCCUCUUCCACCCCAUAAAGGCCGCUUGGUUGGGAAAUUGCAGGAGGUUAGAGAGGACUUCGCAAAAUACAGGGUUUCAAAGCAAGAUGGGCCUGUUUGUUCUUCAUGACAGUUACCCCCAGCAUUACCCAGGAUGCACUGCAGCAGCCAAGGCACCUAUUGGUCCUUAGCAUUAGUGGUGGUUGUUUGCCAUGUCUGGAAUUGCCAGUGUUGCUAGCAUCCUUUGUCUGCAGCUGGGCCCAGCCCUCUACCCCCCUGUCUCUUACUCGUUUGCCUCCAUUUUGUUCUAGGAUGCUGUCAGUGGACU
rnacentral:lncRNA from 1 species